rnacentral:rRNA from 1 species
CGUGUAGGCGGAUGGGGACGUCGGUUGCUGAAAUCCCCCGGCUCAACCGGGGAACGGGCACUGAAACGCCCCGUCUGGAGGGACGUAGGGGGACCUGGAACUUCCGGUGGAGCGGUGAAAUGCGUUGAGAUCGGAAGGAACGCCCGUGGCGAAAGCGAGGUCCUGGACGUUUUCUGACGCUGAGACGCGAAAGCUAGGGUAGCGAACG